rnacentral:rRNA from 1 species
GAUGAACGCUAGCUACAGGCUUAACACAUGCAAGUCGAGGGGCAGCAUGGUCUUAGCUUGCUAAGGCCGAUGGCGACCGGCGCACGGGUGAGUACACGUAUCCCACCUUCCGUCUACUCUUGGACAGCCUUCUGAAAGGGAGAUUAAUACAAGAUGGCAUCAUGAGUUCGCAUGUUCACAUUAUUAAAGGUAUUCCGGUAGACGAAGGGGAUGCGUUCCAUUAGAUAGUAGGCGGGGUAACGGCCCACCUAGGCUUCGAUGGAUAGGGGUUCUGAGAGGAAGGUCCCCCACAUUGGAACUGAGACACGGUCCAAACUCCUACGGGAGGCAGCAGUGAGGAAUAUUGGUCAAUGGGCGCAGGCCUGAACCAGCCAAGUAGCGUGAAGGAUGACUGCCCUAUGGGUUGUAAACUUCUUUUAUAAAGGAAUAAAGUCGGGUAUGUAUACCCGUUUGCAUGUACUUUAUGAAUAAGGAUCGGCUAACUCCGUG